UGCCAGCAGCCGCGGUAAUACGGAGGGUGCGAGCGUUGUUCGGAAUCACUGGGCGUAAAGGGCGCGUAGGCGGUCUGUUAAGUCUGAUGUGAAAUCCCUCCGCUCAACGGAGGAACUGCGUCGGAUACUGGCAGACUUGAGUACCGGAGAGGAAGGUGGAAUUCCCGGUGUAGCGGUGAAAUUCGUAGAUAUACUGAGGAACACCAGCGGCGAAGGCGGCAUCCUGGUCCUGACCUGACGCUCAGGGGCGAAAGCAUGGGGAGCGAACCGGAUUAGAUA
rnacentral:rRNA from 1 species